GAUGAAGAACGUAGCGAAAUGCGAUAAGUAAUGUGAAUUGCAGAAUUCAGUGAAUCAUCGAAUCUUUGAACGCACAUUGCGCCCGCCGGCAUUCUGGCGGGCAUGCCUGUUCGAGCGUCAUUUCAACCCUCGAGCCCCCCCGGGGGCCUCGGUGUUGGGGGACGGCACACCAGCCGCCCCCGAAAUGCAGUGGCGACCCCGCCGCAGCCUCCCCUGCGUAGUAGCACACACCUCGCACCGGAGCGCGGAGGCGGUCACGCCGUAAAACGCCCAACUUUCUUAGAGUUGACCUCGGAUCAGGUAGGAAUACCCGCUGAACUUAAGCAUAUCAAUAAGCGGAGGA
rnacentral:misc_RNA from 1 species